GUUCACCGACUCAAUCAUGGCGGUGAAGUCGCGACCCUGGAUCACCUUCUCGACGAGGCGCAGUUUCUCAUCGGCAAGGCGAGGAUCGGCAUCCCAGACUGUAAUCGUCGUGGUGACGUAGGCCAUGCCUGCCACAUCGGCGCCAAGUUCUUGCAGCGCGACGUCGGCGUCGGCCGCCUUGUUGGCGGCGUCGGUGUCCACGAGCACGGAUUGCUCGUUGGUCAUCACCUCUUUCAGGAUGGCUGCGAUCGACUUGCGCUUGGCGAACCAUUG
rnacentral:misc_RNA from 1 species